rnacentral:lncRNA from 1 species
GUACUGUCGGUAGUCGGGUCGGCCUGGUCGGCAUUGCUCGGCCGAACCUAGGUCACGUAGGUCGUAGCACUCGUAGUAGAGAGGGCGCGAUGGCUCAUGGAAUAGUCGACUAUCGGAGCGCGAUGAUGUGUGAGUGUGCUUGGGCUUUCGGAAUCGCGGGUCGCGGCACAGCUUGUAAUUUAUUUUGAAACGCCUCUACGGCCGAUAUAUUCGUAGUCGAAUCUUAUUUUAAGAUCGUCUCAAGUAAUGUCUUAAGAUGCUAAUACGGCUCUAUGAUGGGUUGACGACAUCUUAUGACGGUACUUAAGAUGAUCUUAAGAUUCGAUUAUGAAUACUGGCUUAUGUGCACAAACUACGUGCUUCGACGUGAAACUACAUAGACAAUGCCCGCGAAUCCUGUAGGAGCAACAAUGCGAGGUUCACGAGAACGAGGAGUAGGAAGAAGAGAAGGAGGAAAGGUAAGUAAUUUAUUGUUGGUCACGGUGUUGUUUAGAUUGCAAUUUUAAAAUUCUUAAUUGUGAGUGGAGUUAUGUCACGGUGCUUGUCUACGUACUUUUUCAUUCAAACAUCGCACUUACAAUUAGUGAAUCGAAUUAAUUUCCGACACGCCCCGAAACUCCUGAAAUUAUCGAAACAGAAAACGACAAGUACGAAAUGAAAGAUUGUGAUAUCAAAACUCUGUUUUGAUUUUGUGUUCUUUUUUUUACAUAAUGUCUGAUACUUUCUUUUUUGAGUUUCUUUGAUUGAUUCCUUAUCAGCGACCUAUUGAAAUCGUAGUUACUGAAAUUAAAAUUGCAUCUAUUUGAACAACUAUGACUAUCCUGUGAACCAAAUUGCUUUCGCAGUCGCUUUCGCGACUUCAAAACAUAAUUGAACGAGUCUACAAUCGCAUUAUAGUAUUUCUUUAAAUUCACGUAGUAUAUAUAUCAUAUUUCACGUAAUUUGAAGCUGUUUCAAUAAACAAUAUCGUCGCAUAUAUUAUUUUCGACAUUUAUUGUAAGAAUGGAAUCAACUCUAUUCGAUCGAAAGGAUAUUUGUAAAAUUUAAUCUAUGAUUUUAUGUUAGUUACAAUUUGAAGCUGUUUCAAUAAACAAUAUCGUCGCAUAUAUUAUUUUCGACAUUUAUUGUAAGAAUGGAAUCAACUCUAUUCGAUCGAAAGGAUAUUUGUAAAAUUUAAUCUAUGAUUUUAUGUUAGUUACAAUUUUAUAUCAAGACUGAAUAAAAUUGUGCGAUUGUAAUAAAUAAUACGAAAAUUUGUUUUCAAAUUAUAAUCAUCUAAUGAUCGUGUAAUAAUUAGCACGAAACGCGCAAUCAAAAGACACAAAAUAUUAUUAGGAAUAAUUUGAAUAUGGAUGAUAUAAUGUUUCCACAUUUUUAUACGCAUUUCUACGUUUUAUUCAGCGAUUUAUCUACCACUCAAAAUUCUUGACUACAUCAACCCAUAUAUUACGAAAUGAAUUCCGCGAAUAAUAACGCAUAUUGAAUCAUGUAACUCCGGACUCCAAAGAUUUUUUAAAAUAGAAAUUAUUUAUCCUGAAAGGUAAUAGUCAAAAUUUGCAGCAAUAUGGACCUCUUUACCGUGGAGGUCAUAGCUAAAUCGCGGUUACUCCCAGGCUUUUUAUUGCCUACUUCUUGCAGUAAGUCUAUACUAGAUGGCACCAAUAGGAUUAUAUCGCUAUAUAAUAAUAGUAUUGUAGUUUCAAACAAUACACUUGCUAAAACUUGUUUAUAUGAUUUUUUGUAUGGAAAUUUAUUUAAAAUUAAUUUUGAAAAAAUAUUGAAAAUUAGACAAAAUAAUGUUCUGUCAAAUCACUGUAUAAAACUUAAUGGCAAGUUUAUAUAGCACAGAAUAUUUUAGCAAUAUUGCAGAAAUGUGCUACAAUAUUGCUACAAUAUUCCUGAAUAUUCUAUGGUUGCUAUCAUAUAAAUUUUCUGGAAAAUCCUAUAGCUGUAUUCUUUAUCAUUAAUUAAAUUAUUUUUUAUUUUAAUUUAAUUUUGCGUUACGAUAUAAGAAUGAAAAAUUUUAAUCGUAUAAUAAGCAGAUAGUUUCGAUAGAAUUACUUAUCCGUAAGAUCGUUAUCACGAUCGGCCCGGACCAAAAAGCUUCUAAUAGAACGGUUAAUUCAAGCGGUUUCAUCCGUCCCACUGAUUGGACGAUCGUAAAAAAUUAAUCGAAUCCGCGGGUGUGCGGUGCAAUAUCAAGGGAGCGGUUACGUGAUGCAAUUCCGUUCUCGGCCGAUCCAGCCGACCUUAUGGAAAAUCGAGGCAAACGCGCACGCUUGUGUGCGUGUAUUUCCGUGAAUUCGGUAUUUCAGCUUGGCGGUUUUACGGCGUUUUAAUCGUUCCUCGCAUAUAUCGAACAAUUAAAUCGAACGCGCAGUGAAGCGACCGCGAAAUGAGAAUUCUGAUUCGCAUCGCGAUUAUUGUGGUUCCGCGACUCGUUAAUACACAAUCUCGCUUUGACAAGGCGGCAACUCUCAGUUGUGCCGGUGACAUUAAUUUUAUUGAUCGACGCCAAUCAGUUUGAAAAUCUUCCGCAAAACACAUGUUUUUAUCUGAUUUACAUACAUUUGUUUUAUAUCUCCUUGUUUUCAAAUUGAAUAAGAUCGAUGGCUGCAAUCGAGAUACAAAAGUAUGAAUUGCAGCAUAAACACGUAAAUAAUUCAGUUACAAUGAUGAAUGUAAUCGAGACCCGAGAUUCUAAGGUUGUCACAAGUAAAUUUAAGAAAUAUGAUACCCACAGAGAAAUCUGUCAGUGAAAAGUGACGUCCUGUGUCACGAACGGCGGCAGAUGACUAACUUUCGAAGAUUCCAUCGCGGCAGUCGUUUACUCCGCGCGGCAAGAGGGAUAGGAGAGGCGAUACGACGGGGGAUGGAAUAGAUAGGAGGGACUCCUUUUUUAAGACGUCGAAGAGUUGGCGGUUUUUUUUUCGCGUUCGAUCGGGGGAUGCUGCGACUGCUAUCAGCCAUCGGUGUUAUUAAAGCCUCGACUCGAUUUCCAUGCAUCUCAUCGCGAAGUUGCCGAUCCAAAUGGUGUCGGGGAUGAUAGGAUGGGGCUCGUAAGUUAGACGGACGGGAGUAGAGGGGGGGGAGGGUAGAGGGGAAAAGGAGAGGUGCGGUGUGUCGCGCGCGGUCGGUUAAAUCGGGGCCGGGUCGUGCCGGGCGAAGUAGUUAAGAUAUCGAACGGGGUCGAAGAUGAGGGUGGGCCCACCAUCGCCGCCGCCGAUUAAGUUCAUGCACCCUCUCACCCUCCGGGUGCGCGCUUUCGAUUUUCUAUACGGUCCACGGAAAGCCGUCAGGACAAAAUUGCGUCACGUAACGGCACGCCGAGGAAAUUUGUAAUCGAUCUUAAAUUUGAUUCGAUCUCUGAAGCACCGAAUUCCGAAAAGAAAUAUACUAGAGUAAACGCAGAAGAGAUAAAAUUAAAAGAAACUAACAUUAAAAAAAAUUACUAAUAGAUUAUUAUUUUUAAAAAAUUAGUAGAAAGGUUAUUACUAAUUUAUUGUUGAAAGGGGAAUAUUAUUUAGCGCGCGUGUAUGCGCGCAACGACGGAAAAGCAAUGGGCUUUUAGUUCGUCUACUUAAAGUGUCCCUGGAGUCUAUGAAAGCUGAACGGUAUCGUUAGUAUCCUUCGGGAGCUACAUAUUGGGAGAGAAAGAUUUUCCUAGCAUGUCCCUACACGCUCCUAUACGCAGCCAUCUUUACGCCGCGCGCUCUCUUUUCUCUCCUUCUUCUUUUCCUUUUUACUCAUACAUAUCCCGGCAUCCGAGACAGGAAUUUAUGAUACGUCGCGCAUUUAUAUUCCCGCGCCUCUCAUAAAUUUUGCUUUACGCGCAUGUAAGUGGCUCCACUUUUGUUCAUAGAUUCCUACGACUGUCAGAUUUAUGUUUCCGUACACGGCAUACGAUUCGACUAUCUAAGAUUGCGGGGGGGAGGGGGAGGCGGGAGAAAAGACAAAAUAUGCGUAUAUUGAGGAAAAAAUGCGUAAUUAGUACAGUUACACAUUGAGCUUACCCUCAAAAUCAACGAAAAAUUGAUCUUUUUUAUUUAAGUUGAGAAAUUCGAAACAUCGAAAUUCAGGAUAUCGUGACGAAGAACAUUUGUAGAAUUGGGAAAAUUAUUUUGCAGAAGUAAUUAAAUACAAUUAUAAUUUUUCCUCAAAAAGUUAACUAAUUAUUUAAUUGUAAUAUUAUUUUAUAAUAAAUCAGUUAUUUUUAAACUUUCAAAAUAUGUAUGUAAUAUUUUGAUUUAAUAAAUUAAUAAUUUCGUGAAAAAUGCUGCAUAAACUGUGGCUGAUUUUAAGGAGUAGUCUCAAUGUAAUUUAUUACUAAAUUUAAUGUUUAAAGUUUAUAAAGCUACUCUUGAAAAUGAUUUAUUACUUUAUUCUGUUGAAUGCAUAUAUUGACGAAUAAGUUUUGAAAUAUCUAAAGUAAUUAUAAAAGUAACUGAUUAAAUUAGUUAUUAGCUACCGAAAAAGGUGUCAUUAAGUUAAGUCACGGCCAUAGUUGGAAAUUCCGGCUGUACAGCGUUUUAUCGUAGGAAGUAACGAGUUAAAUUUCAACCCUGUAUUUGUGUAACAAUACAUAUUUUAAUAACGAAAUCUCUUUGGAGACUCUUUUUGUGUACGUUAGACUUCCUGAUUUUCUCAGUCGUUCGUGCAUUCGGCGAUCGUUCCUUCCGUGUCAUUUGGACGGAUAGGAUUUUCGUACGAGCAUUUCCGCGGGCGAUUCCAACUCCUUUGCUCGUCGCCUAAAGGCUCGUCUGGACGUCGGACAAGCGCCGAUAUAUACCCCGGGACGUGUAUGUACGUACGUGCACCCGGGACGAUAGCCCGGAAGAGAAAUCCGGCUUCGUAGAUGGGAACGACGGGACCCGAUAUUACAUACUUCGCGAUACAAGAGCUACGAAAAAUGCCCCCGGGCCCUACUGCCGCCGCCGUCGCUGUAUAGGUCGGGAUUAUAAUAAUUCGCGUCACUGCGUCCAAUCUCAAUCUGUCUGUCUGGACGAGAGCGGGAUGUGUCGGCAGGAAGCAGCAGGACUCGGUGCUUCGUUAAACGAACCCGUCAGCUUUUCUCGCGUACUUCGUAAUACUUUCUUUUUUUUUUUUUUUAAUUUGAAAUUGUACGAUAUAUCGAGGGUCGAAUUACGAAGGUUAUCCGAGAGCGGUCACAUAUAGAUUACUUUUUUCUCUUACUUUUACUUCUACAAAUCAUACUCAUCGGUGUCGGUCCUUAAACAGGGAAAGUUUUUGCAUUUUGAUACCUUGAUACUAUCGCAGGUAAUUAUUUGUAUAAAGGUUUGCUUAUUUGCUCUUGCUUACUUCCCUCCAUUUGGAACUUCUACUUCAUUAUCUCUUCUUGUUAUCAGGAAAUACCUGCUUGAUUAUUUGGUUACUACGCUUUCUGUGAUAAUUGGCAAUUAUUCCAUGUUGACUUGUUAAACAUUCACGGAAAAUGAUAUUUAAUUUAAUACCGCACAAUCGCAUUAUACUAAUGGUAUGGCGAUAUUGAUUUCCGAAAGAGCUUUAUUUGUUGCUUUAACGGAGCCGGCGAGCGAUACGGAUUUAGUAACCUAUAUAUGGAUUACGUACCUGUAGGUUUCUGUUAGGACACCUGAGUAAACGGCGAAAACGGGAAAUUUCGAAAAUAUUAACACUUUAAGAUAAAAAAUAUAUAACAUUUAAUAUAUAAAGUUAUUAAAUUAUUUAAAAUUUUUCCAUUGCGAAUUUCUUACGUUCAUUUAUGCGAUACACGUUUACGCCUUCACGCAAGUCAUACAGGCAAUUGCGAGCUCGCUUUGUGAUCAUCAUCAUCAUCAUCUUCUAUACAGGCAUUGAAUGGCGGCCAAUGUAUUUGUUUAUCGUCGAAUUUAAUGCGACGACAAUAGAAACGCUCAACCGCGAACUUAACGUUCGUCAAGCAUUGUGCGCAAUAAGUGUUCGACCCUCUUCAUCGUAUAAUCCUCCUUUACGAGGAGUACUCUCUUACACACUACAACCAUACACGCGCGCGUGCGCGCUGCCGCGUCACACGUAUUUCCGUUCCUUGGAGAAUGAGUAUCCAUGGCGUACGACAGGUGAACGGUCUAUGGAAUAAAGCUCUUCGCUGAUCCUGUAGCCCGGAGAUCUUCAACCUUUACUGCACGACCUGCUAUACUGCCGGCCAUUCUGCGCUUCCUCUGUCCUUUGACGACGGAAACUCGUGAUCCUCUUGGACGUCGUGAUUCUAUUUCUAAAUACGCUAACUAUUGCCGUAAAUAUGCGUACACAUAUUUAUUAACGUUUUCAAUAGAUAAAUGAAAAAAAUGUACUAACAUAAUAUUAUACAUGAAAAGUUUUCUUUGCUUUGGCAAAGAGCGUUAAUUUUUUAUUUUUUAGAAAUGAAAUUUUGAGAAUAUUUGUUGAUUGUUUUUUGUAUCCCCUUACAGGUUUCAUAAUCGAAAACUAUUUUCUCUCUUCAGUAAAUUGUUAAUUGUAUUUGUUAUGUAUAUAUCCGAACAACUUCUGCUUAUAGAAUGAUUGAUGAAACUCUAUGGUCAACAAACUCGUAUCGACAAGAAUUAUGUCACAUAAAUAUUUACGGAGUUAUUAAAGUAAAAGGAAAUGGUUCAGAUCUCUUCUCUAUUAUUUUCCAAUAUAUAUUUUAAUCGCAGUUAAAUGAAAAUUCUGUUUUCGAAAUUUAAUCCUUAUAAUCAGUCUGGACAUUUUUACUUAUAUUUGAUAUUUUUUACUACGAAGGUAAAUUAAAAAGAAGAAAAAAAAAAUUAUUUCCAGCUGCGCCGAUACAGUAAAGCGCUACGCACUAGUUUUACCCGCGGCCAGAAAAUAUCGCGUAACCCCGAAUGAACGCGCAGUACCGUGCGUUGCGGUGCAUCCAUGUGCACAGUGGAGCGGUAAUAGUGUCCAGGACGGCACUCAGCCGCUAUGCAACAAUACACAUAUCUAUAGCUUCCUCCUUUCUGGCGCAACAUCAUGACGCUCUUCUAGCUGUCAUGAUACUGUCGCGCUGUAUCGUGCGUCAGAUUUCGUCCGAGAGGGCCGGCGAUUUUCCGGGCUUGCGGUUUAGCUUUAAUCCCACCGACGUCAAAUUUUAAUACAAAGCACAUGGAGAGAGGGAGGGGGGGGGGGAGAGGAGGGAGGAGCGGUGCGAUUGUGUCUCAAAUGCAAAAUGUAAAUGAAAGGCGUGUAACAAAAUGCGCGUCUACGCGCCGGGGAUCCGUUUAUCCGUACGUUCCCCUCUCACGAUAUUCAUUUAAAUUCGCCAUAUCUCGCGUAAUUAUAACUUUCGGCCGACAUUUCUGUUGCGCCGAGUUUAUUAGCGACAGCUGGAUCCGUUAAAUUACGUGUGUGAUUUAAUUAAAUUUUCACCGAGACGACGGUGCCGCCGUCGACGAUCGAUAUUUUCGUGGUUCGGGAUUCGACAAACGGAAUUUUUCCCGCGAUCAAUUCACGCCGAUUAUCCGAAAGAAUAUUUGUACGGGGCGAAUCGGCCGCCCACAUCGAAUCUACAUAAUGCCUUGCACGUUGCACGUGCGUUUGGCCCGACGUUUGGUUACACGGUUCAAUGGAACUAAAGUAUACCUCUUGCUUUUUCGGGAAUGACGUUUCAUGCACGAACAUUUUGGUUUCUGGUCAACUUUAACUGAUAUACGUAUGUUCUUUGCCCGAUCGCUACCCACACAUUCGAAACAACGUAUCAUCACAUUUUUUUGGGUUAUGCAAAAUUUUUAGUAUGGAAAUAUGAAAAGGAAUGGAAAAUGGUGAUCGAAAGGUUUAACCCUUUGUUAUACAAAUUUUUUUGCUGAACAUAUUUUGCUGAACUUUAUGAUGUAUGGAGAUUUUUAAAGUUGUUGAUUGCAAAUCUGAAGUAAAAA